CCCCAGCGCCACAAGUGGGAACCACGUUUAUUGGGUCUAAAGCACCCGUAGCCGGCUUGGCAAAUGCCCUGUGAAAUCGUUUCGCUCAACGGAACGGCGGGCAGGGUAGACUACCAAGCUAGGGACCAGGGGAGGGAGGCGGUAUUCCUGAGGGAGCGGUAAAAUGUGAUAAUCUCAGGAGGACCACCGAUGGCGAAGGCAGCCUCCUAAAAUGGAUCCGACGGUGAGGGAUGAAAGCUAGGGGAGCGAUCCGG
rnacentral:rRNA from 1 species